rnacentral:lncRNA from 1 species
AUACCGUGGAAAUGUUCCACUAAUGCUGUAGUUGCCGGCGAGGCUACGUGAUUCAAUUAUACCAGACGUAUUAUACCGUAACUCCUUGUCAACUAGCCAAACCGAUUUCCAAACUUCGCAACGUCAAUUGGAUCUUUAGCAAAUUCUUCUUGCCGGUACUGGCAGAAUUUAUUCGCAAACUGUUUCACCAACUUGUAGCUCGGACUCUGCGGCGUUUUUGUGACUUUUAACCAGCCUGUAAAACUCAUUUAGUGACAAAAGUUGUUUCUUUGAACACGUUAGGAUACGUAAGCGUAAUUUGACGCUAUUAUAACAUAUACAACCGUGCAGAUUAAGAUAUUUGCAAAAUUUACCUAAAACGACAGUCAUUUGAUCACUUUUCAUGACGUCAUGCUGUUCAUCCGUUGUUGAUAGAUCGAAAAAAAUUCGUCAGUGCAAGUGUAAUCGGUCAAAUGAAAUAACCAAAAUACCUAACUAAAUUAGUGUUUUAAAAAUAUGUAAUAGCUCGGAUGCUUCGUGAAUUUCUUAUUAGAAAGUACUAGACACUUGUAUUCCGGCAAUAAAUUACCCUUGUCAUCGUGGAAGACAAAAUCAAGUCGAAGGACGGAUCUGCGUGCGUAGGAACGUUGGAUUAUCGCCGCUGAUCGAGAGAGAAGGAGUUCGGAGAGGGCUAAGAGGAACGCGGUGGAUUUUGGGAGAGCCGACAGCCCGACGCCACGUUUCCCCUCCGCCAGCCCUUGACGAUCAAGUCGAAAGACGUACAGCACCGAAAACGUCAUGAACGAAGCGUGCGAAUACGUACACUUGACGGUUUCGAUGCUGACAGUAAUUAAAGUGUAGUAAAGAAUCCAUCAUUUUGGUCGUAUUGGGAUUUGGAGGAUUGCGAUAGCUUGGAGAAACGGGGAUCUGGAUGAUUCUUUCAGUAAUCAAAAAUCCAUCAUUUUGGAAAAACUGGGAUCUAGCUAUUCUCGGGCCAGCAAUUCGCCCAAACCACCAGGAAAGCAGCCAUAGGACCGAUGAACUGACUGCGUCCAGGAAGUUUCCGGUAUUCUGGUAUCUGCCUGGCCUGCAACUUGUUAACCCCCAAAAAUAAAACGUGUAGCUGUAUCUGAAUACAUAUGCAUACGUAUAUAUUACAUAGAAUUGAUGCCCGUCCAUCUAGGUUUCGUGGAAAGAACGCUAACGGUAGCAUCGAGGGUUUCUCCUAAUUGUACCUGGAAACGCUUGAACCGCGGGGAUCCAAAUCACAUGGCGCUUUAUUGUAUUUUUUGCUGUAUAAAUAAUCUUUUACAGAUGGAGGUAUAAUGCAUAUCUGUACAUGUCUAUCUCUACGUACGACAUUCUGGUUGAUCCUGUCGCAGCUUCGCCGAUUUAACCGGAGAUCAGUAGUAGAAUUCUUAUUACAUAAAGUACUUUGCACCAUAAGAUAAGAAAAACGAUACUACAAUAACAAUAAUAAUGUUAACGAAAUUAGUAAGAACUGUAAUACAAAUCCUUUUACUGGAAUCGAUCAAACGUUAUAGCGCCAUAAUUGUAACGCGAGGAUUCAGUAAUUUUUAAAUUGCUAUUAUACACAUACAGAUAAAGAGAAACGGUUACACGGGCAUGUGAUACGUCCGUAUAUUGAAACAUACCAUGAAAAAAUUUUGAUACCAAUA